rnacentral:rRNA from 1 species
GACGAACGCUGGCGGCGUGCUUAACACAUGCAAGUCGAACGGAAAGGCCCAGCUUGUUGGGUGCUCUCGUGUGGAGCGGGUGAGUGAAACACGGGUGUACUCCCCCCUUCUCCUGGGUAUACCUUGAGGAAAGUGUGUAUUAUAGCAGAGAGCAGUUGUUGCUUCUCGGUGGUGGAAAGUUUCUUCGGUUGGGGAUGGGCUCGCGGCCUAUCAGCUUGUUGGUGGGGUAGUGGCCUACCAAGGCGUCGACGGGUAGCCGGCCUGAGAGGGUGGACGGCCACAUUGGGACUGAGAUACGGCCCAGACUCCUACGGGAGGCAGCAGUGGGGAAUAUUGCACAAUGGGCGGAAGCCUGAUGCAGCAACGCCGCGUGGGGGAUGACGGCCUUCGGGUUGUAAACCGCUUUCGACAGGGACGAAGCGUUAGUGACGGUAAUGGGAAAAGAAGCACCGGCUAACUACGUG